AUGUUAUGGGCCCUGGCGCCUCACGCUCGGCUCAGCUCAAGUCCGAGCCGGUCGGCAAACAGACCUGCUUUUGCUCUUGCCUUUACUGAGCUACCUUACGUGUGCCGGCCGGGGGAGAUGUCGGGGUUGCUUGGCACAGUUGUUGAUGCAGCAAUAGGAUGGCUGGUGCAAAGCAUCUUUGACAGCUUCUUUACUGGACGUAUGGAAGCCUGGACUCAUGAAAUCGGGCUUGCUGAAGAUGUGGAGAAGCUCAAACUUCAGAUGAGGUACGUGCAGAUGGUUCUUGCUGCUGCCGAGGGAAGGAGGAUUGAAAAUAUGCAUCUGGCCCAGUCACUGGAUGAUCUCAGAGGGCUGCUUUAUGACUCAGAGGAUGUGAUGGACGAGCUCGACUACUACCGACUCGAGCAACAGAUCACUGAAGGGAAAGUUUGUAGUGCUUCUACUGGUACUAAGCCGGAGGGAAAUUAUGUGUUCUCAUCCACUCUAUCUUCUGUUGUUAAAUUAGUACACAACGCCACAAGCCAAAUAACUGAUUGGAUCUCACCCGGCAGAAAAAGGAAACGUGAAGAGGAGGAGCCAGCUCAUUGUAACACGCUGCCUUUUGAGAUAAAAGAUAGCAUUUCUAAGAGGAUCAGAGUUAUAGUGAAUCUUCUACACAGUAAUGGCAAUUCUGUGCAGGGGGUUCUUCAGCUUGAGAUCUUGCGCCCCAUUGCAACAUCAAGCAAGAGUCAGAAUAUUGCCAGGAAUGCUCGCAUGACAACUUCUUUUCCAAUUGAACCUAGGGUGUACGGGAGGGAUGCAGAGAGAGACAAUAUAAUAGACCUGCUGAGAAAUGGGAAAUCUAGUGAUCUGAAUGUUUUGCCAGUGGUUGGCAUUGGUGGAAUUGGGAAGACGACGCUUGCUAGAUAUGUAUACCAUGAUAAAAGAAUUAAAGGCCUUUUUGAUUUGCAAAUGUGGGUCUGUGUAUCCACUAGCUUUGAUGUAGCGGGGCUAACACUUGAGAUCCUAGAGCAUGUAUGUGAAGACAGACCGUAUGAGAAAAAAAGCAGCUUGAAUAAAUUACAGGAGAUCCUUUCAGAGAAUAUUAGAAACAAAAGAUUUCUGCUUGUAUUGGACGAUAUGUGGGAAGACAAGGACAGGAGUGGAUGGAUUAAACUCUUGGCUCCAUUGAAAAGUAACCAAGCAAAUGGUUGCAUGGUACUAGCAACAACUAGAACAAAAUCAGUGGCAAAAAUGAUAGGAACUAUGGAUGAAAUCACAUUGACUGGUCUAGAUGAAAAGGAGUUUUGGCUGUUCUUCAAGGCAUGUGCAUUUCGCAAUGACAAUCGUGAGCACCAUCCUAGUUUUCAAUCUAUUGGGAAACAGAUUGCAAAAGCACUAAAAGGCUGCCCACUAGCUGCACGUAGUGUUGGUGCACUUCUGAGUACAGAUGUUAGCUAUCAGCAUUGGACAGCAGUUCAGGACAAAUGGAAAUCUCUUCAAGAAUACGAUGAUGAUAUUUUACCCAUCUUGAAGCUCAGUUAUGAGUAUCUACCAGUCCACCUUCAGCGCUGUUUCUCAUAUUGCUCUUUGUUUCCAGAGGACUACCAAUUUAAUGGGAAAGAAUUGGUCCAUGCUUGGAUAUCGCAAAAUUUUGUGCAGCGCAAAGAUCCUACCAUAAGAUUGGAAGAAACAGGGCACGCAUAUUUGGAAAGAUUAGUGGAUUUGGGCUUCUUCCAAAAGGAUGGCUCACACUAUAUUAUGCAUGACCUAAUGCACGUACUCGCUGGGACGGUUUCAGCAAAUGAGUGUGCUACUAUUGAUGGAUUGAAAUCUGAAUCAAUUCAAGCAACUGUUCGGCAUUUGUCUAUCAUAACUACUGAUUUUGAGGAAGAUGAACAUGGCAACAAUUCUAGUGAGAAGCUUGACAAAAUACUUCAGAAGGUUAGUUCUUGGCACAAAUUGAGGACCUUGAUGUUGUUUGGGCAAAGCAGCAUACAUUUAUUAGGGUCCUUGAGUACUUUAUGCGAGAGGGCUAAAUGUUUAAGGUUCCUAAGUGUGUCAGGUGCUGACAUCGGCUCUACAAACAGCUUGUUAAAUCUGUUCCAUCUUCGUUAUAUAAUGGCAUACAGAGUCAACAACCCUGCGUUUCGUCAAGCUUUGACAAGUUGUUAUCACCUUCAAGUACUGGAUGUGGGCAUUUCAGGCAAUCUUGAUGUACCUGCUGAUAUGAAUAAUCUUGUUAAUCUACGCCAUCUUAUUGCUCAUGAGAAAGUGCACCAUGCAAUAGACUCUGUCGGCAACAUGACCUCUCUCCAGGAGUUAAAAUUCAAGGUUCAAAAUGUUGGCAGUUUUCAGAUAGGACAACUUCAGUCCAUGAAUAAGCUUGUAUUUCUUGCAAUUUCUCAACUUGAAAAUGCGAAGACUAAAGAAGAGGCGAGGGGGGCCAGGCUGAUAGACAAAGGGUAUCUAGACAAAUUAUCGUUAUCAUGGGAGAAUAGUAGCAUGAAUCUUCAACCUGAGGCUGCAAAAGAUGUGCUUGAUGGUCUUCAACCACAUCAGAACCUCAAACAUCUAGAAAUAACUGGAUAUGGUGGUGUUACCUCCCCAACCUGGCUUUCCAGUACUUUCUCAGUUACCUCACUGCAGAUACUUCAUCUAGAGAAUUGCAGAGAAUGGAAAAUUCUUCGGUCUAUUCAAAUGCCUUCCCUUAGGAAGCUAACAUUGAUCGGGAUGUUGAAUAUAAUGGAAAUCUCAGUUCCUUCUUUGGAAGAGUUGAUCUUGAUCGAUAUGCCAAAAUUGGAAAAAUGUAUCGGUUCUUAUGGAAUGGAAUUGACCUCCCAUCUAAGGGUUUUGAUGAUCAAGAACUGCCCUCAACUGAAUGAGUUCACUCUUUUCAGGAGUUACUCUUCUUUCGAAGCUGAGCAGAAGUCAUGGUUUCCGUCUCUCAGUAAACUCUCCAUCGGGCAGUGUCCUCAUAUAAUGAACAACUGGGAAAUCCUUCCACUAAGAGAAAUGGAGGCGCUAAAGGAGUUGGAGUUGAUGGACCUGCAUGUUGUCAGAGUGUCAGUUCCUUCUCUGGAGAAGUUGGUGUUGGCUAAAAUGCCAAGCCUGGAAUUUUGCAGCAGUCUAACUUCUCCACCUCUGCAAUUUUUACCUUCACAAGGAGAUCCAAAGGAGUGGACAUCUGACCUCCGUAGACUCACCAUCCACAAGUGCCCUCGUUUGAUUGUGCUUCAUCCUCUUCCGCCUUCUGCUCUAAUUUCUGAGUUGUCCAUCAGGGAGGUUUCUACACUUCCAACAAUGAGGAUCAACUGGAGACGUUUCACUAUCGAAUCUAAUCAGUUGUGUGUUCUAGAUGAUAGUAUCUUGGCAUUUGAUAAUCUUAGGGGCAUAGCAUCAUUGGAAAUUAAAAAUUGUCAAAAUCUGGUCUCUCUUUCAAGGGAAUUCAACCAGCUAUUCGCUUUAGAGUAUUUAAGUAUACACGACUGCCCUAUUUUUACCAAGUCAAACAUCAUGUCAGAGAUUGACCAGGAAAACAGCACAUCUGCAUGCAGCCUUGUCCUCCCAUCUCUCAAAUCUGUCAACAUUAAAACAUGUGGAGUAACAGGGAGGUGGCUCACACAAAUGGUUUCACAUUCGCAGUCCCUUGAGAACUUGCAAUUAAGGGACUGUCCACAGAUAAAGUUUCUAUCAAUCGGUCAACCUAGAGAAACGGAAGGAACCAGCAGUUUGGCUUCUGCAGUGAUGACUUCAGCCCAAGAUGAACAGGAACUAAAACUGCCAUAUGAUCUCGUAUGUUCUCUCAAGAAAUUAUGGAUUCAGGAAAGCUGGGAUCUGGAGUUCUGUGGGGGUAAGAGGGACUUCGCAGGAUUCACCUCUCUUACGGAGCUAGUCCUUCAAGGUUGCCCCAAGCUGGUCUCAUUGUUGGUGGGUGAAACAAAAGAUGAUGGUGCCAUGGAAGUUGGGUUACUCCCACCAUCACUUGAAGACCUUACUAUCACUUCUCUCCCAGAAAACUUGCAUUCCUUCGCUCCUCAAGGCCUUCUCCACCUCAAAAAGUUAAGUCUACGUGAUGGCCCAUGUUUGAGGUCUGUACAGCUGCAUUCCUGUACGGCCCUAAAGCAGCUGGAAAUCACGGGGUGUGUCGGGCUGGCUGUACUGGAGGGCUUGCAGUUUCUCAGCUCCCUUCAAAGCUUGGCGAUGGAGAUGAAUCCCGAGCUGUCUUGUGCAUGGGUUCUCAAACUGCAGGAGCAAGAACAGUGUGGCAAUCAAAUUCAGUUGCUUCCUCCCUCACUUGAAGAACUUUAUAUCUGGAAUCUCACAGAUAGGGUCCAGUCCCAUCUUCUGUCCUGCCUUUCUGCCAUGGCCAGUUUAGCAAUACAGAGAAGUCCAGAAUUGACGUCUCUACAGCUGGGAUGCUGCACGGCAGUGAAAGAGUUGGAAAUUGGAGACUGCGAUUCGCUUUUGUCGAUCGAGGGCCUCCAGUUCUGUGUAAACCUGACAUCCUUGAAAGUAUUUAACUCCCCUGGCCUAGUUUCCUUGUUGGAGCUUGUGUCACAGCAGCAAGGGGCCUCUGAGAUCUGGUCUGGACUGGAAACUCUUGAGAUUGAUGACGCAUCUGUCCUUUCCAUGCCCUUCUGCAAACAGCUCACAUCUCUAACGCACCUAGAGUUCAGUUCUCGGGGUGGUAAACUGGGAGAGAGCUUGGUGAGCCUUACAGGGGAGCAAGAGAGAGCAUUACAGCUUCUAACCUCCCUCCAAAAACUUCAAUUCUCGUGGUACAUAAAUCUCUUGUCACUUCCUGCAAACCUUCAUAGCCUAGCCUCCCUUGAGAGGUUAUCUAUCUAUCGUUGCCAGCGCAUCACAAGGCUGCCAGACAUGGGCCUCCCAACUUCUCUCAGAUCUCUUGAGUUAUCCAAUUGCAGUGAGGAGUUAGGUAUGCACUGCAGAAUUGUAGCAACGGAGAAGCUAAGGGUCAUGAUUGAUCGUCAGUAUGUGAAUUAA
rnacentral:rRNA from 1 species